UACGUAGGGGGCUAGCGUUGUCCGGAAUCAUUGGGCGUAAAGAGCGUGUAGGCGGCCUGGUAAGUCCGCUGUAAAAGUCAAAGGCUCAACCUUUGAAUGUCAGUGGAUACUGCCGGGCUAGAGUCCGGAAGAGGCGAGUGGAACUCCUGGUGUAGCGGUGGAAUGCGCAGAUAUCAGGAAGAACACCCGUGGCUAAGGCGGCUCUCUAGUACGGUACUGACGCUGAGACGCGAAAGCGUGGGGAGCGAACAGG
rnacentral:rRNA from 1 species